rnacentral:rRNA from 1 species
AUACGGAGGGUGCAAGCGUUAUCCGGAUUUAUUGGGUUUAAAGGGUGCGCAGGCGGACCUGUCAGUCAGUGGUGAAAUCCCGGGGCUCAACCCCGGAACUGCCAUUGAUACUACAGGUCUUGAAUACGGUUGAAGUAGGCGGAAUGUAGCAUGUAGCGGUGAAAUGCAUAGAUAUGCUACAGAACACCGAUCGCGAAGGCAGCUUACUGAGCCGAUAUUGACGCUCAGGCACGAAAGCGUGGGGAGCGAACAGGAUUAGAUACCCGAGUAGUCC